rnacentral:rRNA from 1 species
GACGAACGCUGGCGGCGCGCCUAACACAUGCAAGUCGAACGGAGUUAUUCUGAAUGAAGUUUUCGGAUGGAUUUUGGAUUAACUUAGUGGCGAACGGGUGAGUAACGCGUGAGUAACCUGCCCUGGAGUGGGGGACAACAGUUGGAAACGGACGCUAAUACCGCAUAAAAUUAUCCAGUCGCAUGGCAGGAUAAUCAAAGGAGCAAUCCGCUGAAGGAUGGACUCGCGUCCGAUUAGAUAGUUGGCGGGGUAACGGCCCACCAAGUCGACGAUCGGUAGCCGGACUGAGAGGUUGAACGGGCCACAUUGGGACUGAGACACGGGCCCAGACCCCCUACGGGAGGCAGCAGUGAGGAAUAUUGGUCAAUGGACGCAAGUCUGAACCAGCCAUGCCGCGUGCAGGAAGACGGCUCUAUGAGUUGUAAACUGCUUUUUGUACUAGGGUAAACGCUUCUACGUGUAGG